UCGAUUUUAAUGCAUGGCUCUGUUAGGAAGGCACUCCAUGACCUUUAAUAAAAACAAUACCAUGACCCGUGACUCCUCUGACCAGGGAGAGACUAAUGUAACAGUCUUUUUGCUUCCCUGACUAUACAAUGAGUUACAAUCCAUAUUUAUUUAAAGGGAUGUUAGUAUGUUAAUCUGGACUAAUGACAAUGAAAUGAAUAUAGAAACGUAAUACUGUCUAAUAAAAAAAAUAUAAGAUAACCUAUGACUCCGAUGAUUGUGCUUCACUGACUAUACAAUGAGUUACAAUCUAUAACUAUUUAUUUAAAGGGAUGUUAGUAUGUUAAUCUGGACUAAUGACAAUGAAAUGAAUAUAGAAACGUAAUACAGUUUAAUAAAAGAAUAUAAGAUAACCUAUGACUCCAAUGAUUGUACUUUUCUGACUAUGCAACGAGUUAUAACCCAUUACUAUUUAUUUAAAGGGAUGUAUGUGGCUUAAUCUGGGCUUAUAACAGUAAAAUGACAAGUUUGAGGCGUAAUAAAGAUAGAAACUCUGCUGAUCAAGGAAAUAAAAUGAAAGCAAUUAAGUAAUAAUCUCCUUGCUAUUGGCUAUGGAACAAGUUAAAAUCUGUUACUAUUAAUAUGAGAGGGUGGCAUAUAGAAGUAAUGAUAAAGAAAUGUAUUGAUAAACAGGUAAUAAACAUAAAUGAAUACUAUAAACUUAAAUACAAGAGCUGUCACUGUCAUGAAAUAUAGGAGGAUUUUGGAUUAAUAUCAUGAUGAACUUUGAAGAUAAUCUCUGGACAUUAUAACAUUUGAAUAAAAAAACUAGAAAUGUAGUAAUAAUAUAUGCUACACCUUUUAACAAGUGUACUUAGGGAAGAUAUAUUAAAGCUGUCCCUAAAUAUCUGUCAUAGCAAUAAGAGAAGUCUGAGAUUUGAUGAAUUAGUUCAGAAAUACUCUCAAUCUGUACAUUGCAAUACCAAACUGAUGUAACAUAUAACACUUUCACCAAUAAAAAAAAUAAUAAUAAUGAAGAAAAUUCUGAAAUAAGGAGAAUAUUGGAUUAAUCUCAAUAUGAAUCAGAAAAUCAUCUCUGUAUAUACAUUACUAGACCAAGGUAAUGUACCUAAUAGCACUCUUACCAUAAUAAUAAAUAAUAAUAAUAAUAAUAAUAAUGAUAAUAAUAGUAGUAGUAGUGGUAGUAGUAGUAGUAGUAGUAGUAGUAGUAGUUUUUUUUUGUUUUUUUUACAACAAAGGAGAUGGCUCAAGGGCACUAAAAAAGGAAACAAUAAAAAAAAAGUGCCCGCUACUCGCUGCUCCUACAAAAAUGAAUCAAAAGAAGUGGCCAAAAGAUGCUUAUGGUGGUAAAAGAAGUAGUAGUAGUAUUAGUAGUAGUAGUAGUAGUAGUAGUGGUAGUAGUACACUGUCCACUACUAACACAAAAUAAGGUUACCACAUCAAACUACCACCCUUGCAGGAAGAGGCUCAUUAACCAAGAUUUAUUGAGAAAGUAACAAACCAAUGGAGGCUUAUACUAGUAGGCUGAGUCUGAAGAACCUUAUAUACAUAAUCAUCUGUGACAUGGUGGCUUAAGACAGUGGAUUCAGUUCAUUAGGAGUCACAAAGUAUAUUCUCUUCCAUUCCUCUAUUGCAAUGACAGAAAAUUUGUCAGUCGUACACACACAAAAUAAAAUAAUAAUAAUGAUAAAUUUGACCUGGUUUUAGUUCACUGACAAACUUAUGGUGGCUAUAUAUAGGUCACUAAAAUAUAUGUCUUACCUUCUCUCAAAUUCAAGAUGCCAUUCAGGACAUAAACAACUUUCAGCAAAUAUUUUCCUCUAAACAUCAAUGUAGAAAAUUCUCCUAACUUAGUCUGAGGAGAGCUUACAAAACACUAAGGUAGGUCUUACUUUCUCACAAAUUCAAGAUGCUUUUUUCAGGACACAAACAACAUUUUCUUAUCAAAUAUUUACCUCUGUGUCAAAUACCUCGGUAAAAAAUCAGUAUAAAAUGAUUCUCCUAACUCAGUCUGAAGAGAGAUUACAAAACACUAAAGUAGGUCUUACUUUCUCACAAAAUCAAGAUGUUUUUUUCAGGACAUAAACAACUUUUUCUCAUCAAAUAUUUACCUCUGUGUCAAAUACCUCGGUAAAUAUCGGUAUAAAAUGAUUCUCCUAACUCAGUCUGAAGAGAGAUUACAAAACACUUAAGUAGAAGGUCUUACUUUCUCACAAAUUUAGGAUGUAAACAACUUUCUCUCAUCAAAUAUUUACCUGAGUGUCAAUUACCUUGGUAAAUAUCGGUAUAAAAUGAUUCUCCUAACUCAGUCUGAAGAGAGAUUACAGAACACAAGCCCCAAAAUCCCUUCAAAUUAAGCCACAGUGCAAUAAUAUACCACACAUCCAUAGCCCCAUAAAGUAAAGCAGUUGUAAGCAUGAAAAAGCAAAAUAAAGAGAAAGACUAUGCCAUUGGAAUGUUUAAAAUCAGGUCAUGGAGGGAAAACUAAAGAUGAAUAUGAAUAUGAUUAUGAUUACGAUGACCUCCUCUAGCCUGGGAUAUGAAUGGUAAUGAUGAUGAUAAUAUGUACUAACCCUCUUCUAAGUGACCUAUAUAGUAUUCAGACCUAUAUAGUGCUCAUUCAAACCUAAACUCUGAUUGUCAAAAGGGAUCAGGGAAACAGAAAAGGCAAGGGGUAAUAUGCGCCUUGUCAAAGAUGCUGCCAAGGAAAUUAACACACAUACCCUCUUGCUAUAUAUUCUUUCAACAUAUCCUGCACUCUAACAUUCCAUAUACUCUUUCACCAUGUCCUAUACUCUACCAUUUCACAAGGAGCAAGACAAGGGGUGAUAUGCGCCUUAUCAAAGAUGCUGCCAAGGAUACUAACGCACAUAUCCUCUUGCCAUAGACUUUUUUAACAUGUCCUAUACGAUAUCAUGUUCCAUGCCCCACCAUUUCCUAGGAGCUCUGAUCAAGAUAUGAGAGUACAUUUAACUUACAAAAAACAUGGCUGUGACUCUACAAUAUAAAGCUGAAUGUCUUUAAUUUAAGGCAGCAUCCCUUUCCAAACUGCAUCCCAAAACCCAUCAUUUUUGUGGCCUCUCAAAAGUUACUGUGCAGGGAAGUGGAGGUGAUGGGUUCUAUGAUAUGGAUGACGUGAAUGUCCGAAGCUAACAUGAGGGGGAUCUAAGCACUGGUAAACCAAGUAAAUACAUAAGGUAACUGCAUCCCGAAACCCAUCAUUUUUGUGGCCUAUCAAAAGUUACUGUGCAAGGAAGUGGAGGUGAUCUGUUCUAUGAUAUGGAUGAUGUGAAUGUCUGAAGCUAACGUGAGGGAUGUAAGCGCUGGUAAACUAAGUAAAUUAAUAAGUAUGUAAGGUAACAGGGUAAUAAUCUGGCUGGGGAUAAAUGCACUAAGGGAAGAACUAUUCACUGCACUCUUCAAUGACUUUCUAUACAAUCUGCUUCCUUCUCCAGAGCCAUAAAUCUGGUAAAUAUGAAGAAUAACACCUCUGCCCCUCUCUCUCUCUCUCUCUCUCUCUUGAAUCUGGUGUAUAUGAAGGAAAACUAAGGGAAGAACUAUUGACUGCACCCUUCAAAACACUUCCUAUACAAUCCACCUCCUUCUCAUUAGCCAUAAAACUGGUAAAUAUGAAGAAUAACACCUCUGUCUUCCACCCCCCCAUGAAACUGGUAAAAAUGUAGAAUAACACCGCUCCCCUUCAGACAGAUGCCUUGUACAAUGUUAGUUACGCAUUCUUAAAAACACUUUCUCCCCCUCUUUCUACAGACCCAUAAAACAGGUAAAUAUGUAGAAUAACACCCCCUCCUUCCACACAGAUGCUUAGUACAAUGUUAGUUACGCACUCUUAAAAACACUUCCUCCGUCUCCUUCUACAGAUCCAUAAAACUGGUAAAUAUGUAGAUUAACACCUCCUUCCUUCACACAGAUGCUUAGUACAAUGUUAGUUACGCACUCUUAAAAACACUUCCUCCCCCUCCUUCUACAGACCCAUAAAACUGGUAAAUAUGUAGAUUAACACUCCCUCCCUCACACAGAUGCCUGGUACAAUGUUAGUUACACACUCUUAAAAACACUUCCUCCCCCUCUUUCUACAGACCCAUAAAACUGGUAAAUAUGUAGAUUAACACUGCCCCCCCUCCCCUCCACUGCACACAGAUGCCUCAUACAAUGUUAGCAAUGCAUAGUUCCCAUUGGUCACCUCAAAUGAUAGGGUGCAGAGCCUCACUUCAGCUUGAAACAAAUGCGUAAGAUAAAGCUUUUUCUCAUACUAACACGUCUCCUACACGCUAAGUAACUCUUUGGCAAAUAGUUCUUAAAAAUAUAACCGGAACAAUAUAUAAAUUCUGAGCUAUUUACAACAUAACAUCUAGUUCUGACCUUCCUCCUUCCUGCAUGUUGAUUUUUUUUUAGAAAGUCAUGAUGGUAUAGAUAGUAAUAGGCUACAUAUAAAGGCAAUACAUAGCAGCUUAUAUAUACAAAAUCCACAUUACCCAAGUUAGAAGUAGUAUUUCCCGAUUGGAUAAGAGAGUCGAUUGAUCAAAAAUAUACGCACAUUUGUGGGAUAACGAGGUGCCGGCCGUGAAUAUGGUGACUUUAUAAAAAAUCAUUGUGUCGUCCAUAUUUACGACCACUGCAGCAAUGACUGAAAACUCAAAUUCUGACGUAGUGAAAUCGGAUUGACGAGAUGGAAUUUGUAUUGGUUUCCACGGGUCGUUUCCUCCCUGACGCUCUGCCAUACAGUUCCAACACCCAUCUCUAUCCUCUCAUAUGUAACCUAUAGCUAACAUACGAGAGGAAAAGAUAUUGGAACUGUGUAGCAGAGAGGCAGGGAGGAAAGGACCUGCGGAAACCAGUGCAAAAAUUAUCUCUCGGUAAUCUGGGUUUCACUACAGUAGUUGAUAGGCAAAUGUAGUUAUGUAUGUACACUUCAAAGGUAUAUAAAUCAGAGCAUGUAUAUAGUAGCUUAUAAAAACGGCACAUCCAUAAUAUUUUGCAUUUGAUUUGACGUGAACUCCCGAAUAUCUUGUUUUUUUUAGCUUAACUGACAGUGAACUACAGCGGACUAUCUUUGAACAUUGCAGCAGGCGCGUGUACUAACCCACCUCAGGUCCUGCACUGCUUUUUAUGUAGCAGACACACACACACACACACACAUAUAUGCACCCAUCCAGCCACACACCACCCGUACUCACCUACCCAUCCACACACACACACACACACAUCCACCACUGGUCUCUAAUAUAAGUGGAUUGGUUAACUAUAUUAGAGAUCAGCGACAUCCACAUACACCCCCCCACACACACACACUUGUCCACAUACCCCCACACACACACCCACACUCACACCCACACACAUGGAUUCCAACAUCGCACUGCAUAUAAGAAGUAGUAUAUUACGAACUCAUGAAAUCAUCAACUAGAUAAAUUAAUACAUACAAAAGUGAAUAGGAUCCAAUCACUUUUCCAACACAUAAUACCUUUAGUUGUUUGUAAAAUAAUCUCAUGUUAACUUAAAACUAAAAAAAAAAACCAUGAUCAUUCUAUUUGAAAGUGCAUUUGCCCUAAAAACUAAGCAUUAAGUAGUGAGAAAGAUGCUCAUAAAAAUAGUUAAUAUGAAAAUAAAGUUAAUAUAUAAAUAAAAUAAAUAACAAAAAGAGGUAUUAAACAUAUCUAUAGUAAAAUGAUAAAGCUGGGGGCAUUACCAUGAUUUUAAUAUUAUGCUGCUUUUGAUAAUGAUGAUAAUAAUAAUGAUAAUAAGAGUAGACACCUGCACCACCAAGGUUACUACGUAUUUCUGAAUAAUCCAAAACUUCUACAAUAAAACAGAGAGACAUAAAUCGGAAGAAUACAUGUAAUAAAACGACAUACCACUUGCAAAAACAGUGGCUUGGAUCUUCUAAUAAAAGCAGAAUACACAAAACUGGUUCUGGCAUCUACAAAUUAAGUAAUGUUACGUAUAUUGAAACAGCAAAAAGCACAGAUACGUAUAAAAAAAGAAUACAAAAACUAUCUCGCCGUAACCUCAAAGCAACAUCCCAUACGCCACUCGCCCGCUAACGACAGCACCGGCUCAGCUACGUAACUCCUAAGUCUUCUCCUAAGUUAACCGUUCCUGAUAUAAGAGUACUCUGGAGCAAGCAUUAAGUAGCGACCCGGGGCUGGACACAUCAAACCACUUACAAGACUCGUCAUUAGUAAGUCUUCCGGUAAACCUGUCCACUGUGAAUGCUCCUUGUGUUUAAGUGACUCCGAUGGCGAUGACUGAAGUGAAUAGAUGGUUUUGUCUCAGUAAACUCGACUAGCAAAUGUGUUCUUGCGCCAUAUACUCUUUCAACAUGUUUCAUACUAGGCUUCAGCUCUUUAACCCAGUAGCAGCAACGGGCCAAAUUUGUGGCUUUACCAUGUACCAGCGACGGGCCAAAUUUUUGCCAUGAUAUAAACCCCCCAAAAAUAGAUGAUGCAAAAACUGAUCACAAAUGCGUUGAUAUACAUUAUGAAAUGGUUUACAUGAGUGAUGAUUUUUUUCUCAUUUUUCUCACUUAGAGGGGCCUUUAAGAAACAUGAUCCCUGCUGCUACCCGGUUAAGAUGCUAAUAUACACCUAACUCAUUACUCAUUCAUCGCCGGAGCUGCCUAGAGAUCAUGAGCGUUUGUAGUGGACCGAGUUACCAGAAGACUUACCAGUGAGAGGUCUUGUAAAUGGUUUGAUGAUUUUGCCCUCUGAACGUGGCCCACCAAGCCAAACACAAGCAGCCGGAAAUCAUCGCAAGCUUUGAUUUACACCCGUUCCCUCCCUCCCUCACUUGGUAGCUAAUAUUGCUAGGCUAAGACACAGGCUGUUUUGCGUUUUUUGUGUGUAUUUUUCCCUUUAAGCUGCUUCCGUUGCUAUAAAAAUAAUGAUAAUAAAAAAUGACAUUGGGUGACUGGCUGCCAUCAUUCCUAGAACAUAGCUAAGACACAGGCUCUCUUAUUUCUUGUUCAUAUGCCUUUAAGCUAUUUCCGUUGCUAUAAAAAUAAUGAUGAUAAAAACAACACUGGCUGACUGGCUGCCAUCAUUACUAGAACA